GGCUGUUUGGAUGCCGGCCACAAAUAGCCAAGCCAAAUUUUGGCUCGCCACACCAUAUUUGGCCAGCGUUUGGUUCACCAAAAAAUAUUGGCUCGCCACAACCUCAGUGCCCUCCCGCCACAGGCUUUUGCCAGAAAACUUUGGCGGUCUUUUUCCCCGCCACGCUCGCCUGUGGCCGCCAAAACCGCCAAUCUGCCACAAAAAAUCGCCCAGCGUACCUUUCUCUCCCGAUAAAAAAAUUUCCCCUCUCCAGCCAGACCUCACUCCACGGAGGCUCCCCUUCCCGACGUUGGUGAGCUCGCCGUCGCACGUCUCCCAUACCAGAGCUGAGCAUAUCUGAAGCAGAGAAAAGUUGAAGGAGAGUAAGAGCGGAUCGGAAGCAGUAAGAGCGGAUCGGAAGCAGGGCAGCAGAAGCAGCGCAUUCAAGUAGAAGCAGAUUCAGGACCAGUCCGUGCGGCCGGAGAAGAUGUAUUUAAAGUAUUACCUGGACCAUUGCCAUUACAUGUGGAAAAGAAGAAUGCUUGCUGGUAUUCUGGUGUGUCUAACAGUCUAUUGGUAUAGGAUCAAUACAAGGAAAAGAAAAAGAAUAACAUAUGCUCCCAUGGUUGAUAGGGAUGUUGAGAGAUUGAGACGUCUAAAUCGCUUGUACAAUGGAAAUGAUGCCCACUGCAUAAGUGAGCUGCGUAUGAGCAAAGUUGUCUUUCAUAAGUUGUGUGCUGAACUUAGAUCACGUGCCCUGCUAGAAGAGACAUGCCAUGUCACAAUAGAGGAACAAGUCGCCAUGUUUAUGCAUGCAGAUGG